rnacentral:rRNA from 1 species
GUGGGGAAUAUUGGGCAAUGGGCGCAAGCCUGACCCAGCAACGCCGCGUGAAGGAAGAAGGCUUUCGGGUUGUAAACUUCUUUUACCAGGGACGAAACAAAUGACGGUACCUGGUGAAUAAGCCACGGCUAACUACGUGCCAGCAGCCGCGGUAAUACGUAGGUGGCGAGCGUUAUCCGGAUUUAUUGGGUGUAAAGGGCGUGUAGGCGGGACAGCAAGUCAGAUGUGAAAACCAGAGGCUCAACCUCUGGCCUGCAUUUGAAACUGUUGUUCUUGAGUGUCAGAGAGGUAAUCGGAAUUCCGUGUGUAGCGGUGAAAUGCGUAGAUAUACGGAGGAACACCAGUGGCGAAGGCGGAUUACUGGACGAUAACUGACGCUGAGGCGCGAAAGCGUGGGGAGCAAACAGGAUUAGAUACCCCUGUAGUCC